UCUAGAGAAACUCGUAGAUGCUUUCAGUGUGGAAAAGUUGGACAUUUGAGAGCUCAUUGUAGAUAUGGAGAUAGAAUGAGAAAACAGGUUGAGAGAAUAAAACCCAAAAUCCCGUAUCCAAAAUGUAACCCAGGCUUUCACUGGGCCUCUGAAUGUAGAUUGACUCAGAGAAAUGAGAGGCAGGGCCCAGCUCCAAAGUAUCAAUCAAAGGACAGGUGGGGCAUGAUGGCAGCUGAGGUUACACCCAGAGAGUCUUUAGAAAUUCAGGACUUUAAUGUCAUCAACAGAAAAGCAAUCAGGAUUACAGUUGGGGAGGUUACAGGCUUUUUAACACAACAGGGCAGUGUCCAGUGCAAACAGUUCCACUAUCUUUAGAUAAUCGCCAGGUGAUAUGGAGAGAUCCAGAAAGUGGUAAAUAGAAGGGAAUUAGGUUAACUGCUUGGGGAAGAGGGUUUGCUUGUAUUUUUACAGGAGGAGAAAGAAUCAGAUGGGUGCCAAUGAGCCGUAUUCGCCUUGUCCAUCUCAGAGAGAUGGAGCAGAUCCUUGAAACAAAGGAGAAGACCCAAGAAAUAUUGGGUGGUUCUGUCGCUGAUUGUGCUCACCAUUGAAAGAGCGUGGCAGUUACGGCAUCUGACUCAUGGAUAUAGAAAAUUGUUGGACUUCAAAACUCUCAGGAAUCAUUGGAUUCUCUGAAACAUGACAAGAUUGUUGUAGGACUUGAAAACCCUCAGGAAUCAUUGGAUUCUUUGAGACAUAAGACUUCAAAACCCUCAGGAAUCAUUGGAUUCUCUGAGAUAUAAUAAGAUUGGUGUAGGACUUGAAAACCCUCAGGAAUCAUUGGAUUCUCUGAGACAUAAGAUUGUUGUAGGACUUGAAAACCCUCGGGAAUCAUUGGAUUCUUUGAGACAUAAGACUUGAAAGCCCUCAGGAAUCAUUGGAUUUUCUCAGAAAUGAUAAGACUCUUAGAGGAUUUAAAAAAUCUGCUGGAAUCAUUGGAUUCCCUAACACAUAAAAAGACUUUUGCAGGACUUCAAAAACUUGGGGGGAUCAUUGGGUUCCCUGAUAUGUGAAACAAUGGACAAUAGAUUGGUUUUGGGCUAUCUCUUGACUGCUGAAGAAGGCGUAUGUGUGACUGUUGUUUACAUACCCUCCUUCUAGGACUUCUGGCAAUCUUUUACAACACGAUGUUGAUUUAUAUUGUUUGUUAUACUGUUACUUGGGUGUACAAUUAAUGUUUGUUAUACCACAUCAAGCCUGCACUGACUGUGGGGAGAGUCAUCACUAAUAGCCUCUUGCGUUAUUGCUAUGUGCUUGUGUAAUACCUCCCAUGCUGAUGGGUUUGUGCAUAAGACCCUUCAGCCCAGAAAUCCGCUAGCAACCCCCACUUCCCUUAGGUGCUUUUCAUCUCCUUUCCUGAGAAGUCAGGAGGGUCGUGAUCACCUCCCCUUGGGGGCUCUGACCUCUCUGAGGAGUCAGGGAUGGCAUGACCAUCUAUGUUCUAAAACAAAAGAAAGCGAGAGAUAUAAUGGGCUGAGGCUCGAGUUGAUGCACUGAGGUCCCAAGCAUGUGAGGCUAAAUAGUAAUUGGACCAUACUCUAUUAAUAUAUAUAUGCUGGGAGAAAGAAUGGCUCCUGCCCACUCUUUGUGCAAGUCCUGAUGUGUUGUAUAGGAAAUGACGAUUUUGGUGGGUGGAGGCAGGGGAGUGGAAAGGGAAGUGGAAAGAGAGGCUGCUGGCUGGCGUCUUGACACAGCUGCUCGCACUGCUAUCGCAACCAUCCUUCACCUCCAAUCCCCCUCUGCUAGCAGGCUUCCUGUCUGCCCAUAUUGCUAUCGCAAUCCUUCUUCAUCUCUUCACUUCAAUAAAGAUUGAAGAUUUUUCCCUUAACCUGAA